AUGUGCCUCUCAAGUACUAAAUAUUUCAGUAAGAACACGAUGUGCACCGCCUCAAUUAACGCUUGGAUCCAUUACACAACUGGAAGCCUCUUCUUCUCCAUUGGUCCAAACAAAUUCAAAGUGUUGCCGUCAGCUUAUUGUCGCCCUUCACCGAUUGCGUAUGUCUUCUCUGAUUUCGCUUCGUCUCCCUUAAACCCUCUUUUGAUACCAGACAUUUAA